rfam:Diaporthe helianthi strain 7/96 Scaffold_4685.1, whole genome shotgun sequence.
CUCCAGCUAGUGUAGUGGUCAGCACGUGGGGUUGACACACAUGGAUGCCUAUUUGGCGGAAGUGUGCCUUCGGGGACCUGAGACCCGGGUUCAAUUCCCGGGCUGGAGA